rnacentral:rRNA from 1 species
CCCAGGCUAAUACCGCAUACGUCCUACGGGAGAAAGGGGGCUCCGGCUCCCGCUAUUGGAUGAGCCUAUGUCGGAUUAGCUAGUUGGUGAGGUAAAGGCUCACCAAGGCAACGAUCCGUAGCUGGUCUGAGAGGAUGAUCAGCCACAUCGGGACUGAGACACGGCCCGAACUCCUACGGGAGGCAGCAGUGGGGAAUAUUGGACAAUGGGGGCAACCCUGAUCCAGCCAUGCCGCGUGUGUGAAGAAGGCCUUCGGGUUGUAAAGCACUUUCAGCGAGGAAGAACGCCUAGUGGUUAAUACCCAUUAGGAAAGACAUCACUCGCAGAAGAAGCACCGGCUAACUCCGUGCCAGCAGCCGCGGUAAUACGGAGGGUGCAAGCGUUAAUCGGAAUUACUGGGCGUAAAGCGCGCGUAGGUGGCUUGAUAAGCCGGUUGUGAAAGCCCCGGGCUCAACCUGGGAACGGCAUCCGGAACUGUCAAGCUAGAGUGCAGGAGAGGAAGGUAGAAUUCCCGGUGUAGCGGUGAAAUGCGUAGAGAUCGGGAGGAAUACCAGUGGCGAAGGCGGCCUUCUGGACUGACACUGACACUGAGGUGCGAAAGCGUGGGUAGCAAACAGGAUUAGAUACCCUGGUAGUCCACGCCGUAAACGAUGUCGACCAGCCGUUGGGUGCCUAGCGCACUUUGUGGCGAAGUUAACGCGAUAAGUCGACCGCCUGGGGAGUACGGCCGCAAGGUUAAAACUCAAAUGAAUUGACGGGGGCCCGCACAAGCGGUGGAGCAUGUGGUUUAAUUCGAUGCAACGCGAAGAACCUUACCUACUCUUGACAUCCUGCGAACUUGUGAGAGAUCACUUGGUGCCUUCGGGAACGCAGAGACAGGUGCUGCAUGGCUGUCGUCAGCUCGUGUUGUGAAAUGUUGGGUUAAGUCCCGUAACGAGCGCAACCCUUGUCCUUAUUUGCCAGCACGUAAUGGUGGGAACUCUAAGGAGACUGCCGGUGACAAACCGGAGGAAGGUGGGGACGACGUCAAGUCAUCAUGGCCCUUACGAGUAGGGCUACACACGUGCUACAAUGGCCGGUACAAAGGGUUGCCAACUCGCGAGAGUGAGCUAAUCCCGAAAAGCCGGUCUCAGUCCGGAUCGGAGUCUGCAACUCGACUCCGUGAAGUCGGAAUCGCUAGUAAUCGUGAAUCAGAAUGUCACGGUGAAUACGUUCCCGGGCCUUGUACA